AGCUCUACCUUAGUUUUUUUGUUAAACUGAACAAGACCUCAGACUUAAGAGCUAUUCGAAUAAGGCACAGCUUAUUUGAAACAGGACACAACCUACGACAUAGGGUAACCAAGAGUGACUUAAAUAAAGUGGGCCUAAAAGCAGCCAUCUUUAAAAAAGCGUUAAAGCUUAACUACCCCUCACUCACAAUACCUAAAGCCCUCACUAACCCCUCAUCACUAUUGAACAGCUUUAUACUCAUAUAAAAGCUAUUAUGCUAGAACUAGUAACAAGAAACUGCCUUUCUCCUAAAUGUAAGUAUAUACCAAAAUAAACUCUGUUGGUUAUUAACGUAAAUGCUAAACUAUAGUAACACCCACUAGAAAACCCUAUAACUCCUAACGUUAACCUUACACCAGAACAUUCCAGGAAAGAUUAAAAGAAAAAGAAGGAACUCGGCAAAUCAUAGCCCCGCCUGUUUACCAAAAACAUCGCCUCUUGCAAAACAUAAGAGGUCCAGCCUGCCCAGUGACAAAGUUCAACGGCCGCGGUACCCUAACCGUGCGAAGGUAGCAUAAUCACUUGUUCUUUAAAUGAGGACUCGUAUCAACGGCACUACGAGGGCUAUACUGUCUCCUUUUUCCAAUCAGUGAAACUGAUCUCCCCGUGAAGAAGCGGGGAUCAAAAUAUAAGACGAGAAGACCCCAUGGAGCUUUAAACUCUCUGUACACUUCUGUGUUCCUACAUCAUUAGACAUAAGAAAUCUGCACACUAGUUUUAGGUUGGGGGGACCACGGAGUACAAUUUAACCUCCAUAACAAAUGGGCUAAUUACCCUUAUCCACGAGACACACCUCUAAGAAUUACUAAACUAAUGCUUAUGACCCGAUAUUCGAUCAAUGAACCAAGUUACCCUGGGGAUAACAGCGCAAUCUACUUCAAGAGCUCAUAUCGACAAGUAGGUUUACGACCUCGAUGUUGGAUCAGGGUAUCCCGGUGGUGCAGCCGCUACUAAUGGUUCGUUUGUUCAACGAUUAAAACCCUACGUGAUCUG
rnacentral:rRNA from 1 species